AGCGAACGCUGGCGGCAGGCCUAACACAUGCAAGUCGAACGAACUCUUCGGAGUUAGUGGCGGACGGGUGAGUAACACGUGGGAACGUGCCUUUAGGUUCGGAAUAACUCAGGGAAACUUGUGCUAAUACCGAAUGUGCCCUUCGGGGGAAAGAUUUAUCGCCUUUAGAGCGGCCCGCGUCUGAUUAGCUAGUUGGUGAGGUAAAGGCUCACCAAGGCGACGAUCAGUAGCUGGUCUGAGAGGAUGAUCAGCCACAUUGGGACUGAGACACGGCCCAAACUCCUACGGGAGGCAGCAGUGGGGAAUCUUGCGCAAUGGGCGAAAGCCUGACGCAGCCAUGCCGUGUGAAUGAUGAAGGUCUUAGGAUUGUAAAAUUCUUUCACCGGGGACGAUAAUGACGGUACCCGGAGAAGAAGCCCCGGCUAACUUCGUG
rnacentral:rRNA from 1 species